AUUGAACGCUGGCGGCAGGCCUAACACAUGCAAGUCGAACGAGUGGCGGACGGGUGAGUAAUGUCUGGGAAUGUGCCCGAUGGCGGGGGAUAACUACUGGAAAGGGUAGCUAAUACCGCAUACUAUCGGAUGUGCCCAGAUGGGAUUAGCUAGUAGGUGGGGUAACGGCUCACCUAGGCGACGAUCCCUAGCUGGUCUGAGAGGAUGACCAGCCACACUGGGACUGAGACACGGCCCAGACUCCUACGGGAGGCAGCAGUGGGGAAUAUUGCACAAUGGGCGAAAGCCUGAUGCAGCCAUGCCGCGUGUAUGAAGAAGGCCUUCGGGUUGUAAAGUACUUUCAGCGGGGAGGCGGUACCGGCAGAAGAAGCACCGGCUAACUCCGUGCCAGCAGCCGCGGUAAUAC
rnacentral:rRNA from 1 species